UGGAUGAGUGGCGAACGGGUGAGUAACACGUGAGUAACCUGCCCCCUUCUUUGGGAUAACGGUCGGAAACGGCUGCUAAUACCGGGUAUUCACUGUCUUUCGCAUGGGGGGUGGUGGAAAGGUUUUUUCUGGUGGGGGAUGGGCUCGCGGCCUAUCAGCUUGUUGGUGGGGUGAUGGCUUACCAAGGCUUUGACGGGUAACCGGCCUGAGAGGGUGACCGGUCACAUUGGGACUGAGAUACGGCCCAGACUCCUACGGGAGGCAGCAGUGGGGAAUAUUGCACAAUGGGCGAAAGCCUGAUGCAGCGACGCCGCGUGAGGGAUGACGGCCUUCGGGUUGUAAACCUCUUUCGCUCAUGGUCAAGCCGCAACAGUGGUUGUGGUGAGGGUAGUGGGUAAAGAAGCACCGGCUAACUACGUGCCAGCAGCCGCGGUAAUACGUAGGGUGCGAGCGUUGUCCGG
rnacentral:rRNA from 1 species